AGGGUUCGAUUCUGGCUCAGGAUGAACGCUGGCGGCGUGCUUAACACAUGCAAGUCGAACGGGAUCCAUCAGGCUUUGCUUGGUGGUGAGAGUGGCGAACGGGUGAGUAAUGCGUGACCGACCUGCCCCAUACACCGGAAUAGCUCCUGGAAACGGGUGGUAAUGCCGGAUGCUCCAGUUGACCGCAUGGUCCUCUGGGAAAGCUUUUGCGGUAUGGGAUGGGGUCGCGUCCUAUCAGGUAGUCGGCGGGGUAACGGCCCACCGAGCCUACGACGGGUAGCCGGCCUGAGAGGGCGACCGGCCACAUUGGGACUGAGAUACGGCCCAGACUCCUACGGGAGGCAGCAGUGGGGAAUAUUGCACAAUGGGCGCAAGCCUGAUGCAGCGACGCCGCGUGCGGGAUGACGGCCUUCGGGUUGUAAACCGCUUUUGAUCGGGAGCAAGCCUUCGGGUGAGUGUACCUUUCGAAUAAGCACCGGCUAACUACGUGCCAGCAGCCGCGGUAAUACGUAGGGUGCAAGCGUUAUCCGGAAUUAUUGGGCGUAAAGGGCUCGUAGGCGGUUCGUCGCGUCCGGUGUGAAAGUCCAUCGCUUAACGGUGGAUCCGCGCCGGGUACGGGCGGGCUUGAGUGCGGUAGGGGAGACUGGAAUUCCCGGUGUAACGGUGGAAUGUGUAGAUAUCGGGAAGAACACCAAUGGCGAAGGCAGGUCUCUGGGCCGUUACUGACGCUGAGGAGCGAAAGCGUGGGGAGCGAACAGGAUUAGAUACCCUGGUAGUCCACGCCGUAAACGGUGGAUGCUGGAUGUGGGGACCAUUCCACGGUCUCCGUGUCGGAGCCAACGCGUUAAGCAUCCCGCCUGGGGAGUACGGCCGCAAGGCUAAAACUCAAAGAAAUUGACGGGGGCCCGCACAAGCGGCGGAGCAUGCGGAUUAAUUCGAUGCAACGCGAAGAACCUUACCUGGGCUUGACAUGUUCCCGACAGCCGUAGAGAUAUGGCCUCCCUUCGGGGCGGGUUCACAGGUGGUGC
rnacentral:rRNA from 1 species